GUUGAAAACUUUGCCGACCCGAGUUCUGCUUCUUGAUCUGGGAGGAUGCUGGUGCUACAGGAGUUUUUGGUUUUUCAGUCCAGCGGCACACUUACGGCCCAUGCGCUUCUCUGUGGGUACGCAACACUUCAAUAAACAAGAGGGAACAGAACAAGGAGGCUUGCCCAAUCCUAAAACACCCUUGCGGUCCCUUCGGGUUUCGUUCAACGGGAUUUGAGGGAAGAGAGUUUCCAUCAAAGACCUCUCCAGGAUCCGGGAUAGAGCCGCCAGGCGAGGAAAGAAAAGGGAACCGGAGGGCACUGGCUCCGAUCCCGCUUCUGCCGUCUGACCGCGCCCUUUAAAUAUGGCUCGUACGGCGCGACUGCGCUGCCCCAGCUCACGGGCCCUGCUGGCCCGCUCGGAGGGCAGAAGCCAAGAGCCGCAACAAAAUCAGGCAGCUGCGAGCCCAGCCCGGCCUCGGGUCCUCAGCGCGGCAAGUGCGGGGGGCGGGGCCUGACCGCCCAUUGGCUCACGCCUAGGGGCGGGCCCACUGCUCCGUCCCGCCCCCAACCCCUACCGGGUUAAUUGGGCCUCGCGCCUGCCCGGGGAAUUAUUCAUCGGAGGGCGGGGCCUGGGUUUGUUUACACCCUGCCAUUGGCUGGAUUUGAAUCGGCCCGACUGCGGGCCGGCCGCGGGGCGGGGCUCCAGAGGGCCCCGGCCCGCGCCUGACAGCUUGGGGAGGAAGGGCCCGCAGCCGGAGCGCCGGGACCCGGCAGAAGGGGGUACCCUCGGCGGGUGCGGCCAGCGGGGGUGGGCAGGUGGAGGCUUCCGCCCUCGUUUCUCCACAAAUACUGAUCAAAGGCCAGGGUGCGGAGCCUUGUUUGUGUUUUCAUAAACACGCUGUAGGGAAAACAAACCCGGAAACAACCUUGCUGCCCACGGAUGGGGGACUCAUUUAAAUAAGCUGUGGCCUGACCCGCAGUGACACACGAAGUAGCCGUAAAAUGAGGAAGACACGAACCGACACACAACAAGUUAUGUACCCAGUCAAGAAACAAAAGCGAAGAGGGGAGCAGAGAGUGUACCGACUUAAAAAUGCAGAAACUGAAGAACAGAGGAGUUAAGUAAGGGCUCACCGACCCACAUCUCCCUCCAGAAAAAAGAAAAGGGACACCAAGAAGAACGGGCAGGUCAUGGUUGGAGCAAGAGGAAGGUGUCCAAAAUUUCUAGAGAGGGAGGAAAGAAUGGGAGGCUCUCCGGGAAACCACAAGGACUUUGGCAAGGAGGGGAGGGUCUCUGUGAACCUGGAUCCUUCCGCCUGGAAAAGGAACGUCCUGGGUGUGCUCAGAGACGGCACCCACUUGGAUUUCGAGGAGCUGUACUUUGGGGCUGUCCAGCCGGAGGUGAACGGAGGUGGUGUGUCGGAGCCCGGGCCCAGCUGUCAGAUCUGGGCUGGUGCUGCACGUGCUUAGGAAAGAUCAUUCUGCAAGUGCUGGCCAUUCACCAUCAUCGAACAAAACAGCAAACGGAACAAAAUCCGUGCCCCACCCCCCAAAAGGGUGUAAGGAAAGGGAGCUCAAAUGACCCACAGCAGCCCUCCCCCUGCCACCUUAAUAAAAGAUAUUUAUGGCGGC